AGGGCCUCAGGACAGGAGACUGGGGUCCCCCAGGCUCCCACUUGGGUGCUGAAGUUGGGGGUGACACCAGCUCAGGGGGUCCCAUGAAACACCUAGUCAUGCAGGGCUGAAACUCAAAAGAGAGGACUGAGCCAGAGAGACCCAUCUGGAUUUUCAGCAAAGAGCUGACCAGUGAACCCUCAGGAAACGCUGGAGUGCAAAUGGCACCACCAAGAAUCAGUCCCAGGAAAGAGGCACAAAGGCCGGGAAGAGGACUGGGCAAUGAAGAGUCGCCCUUAGAGAACAGGAAAACCAAGAACGGGAGGUCAGAGAAAGAAAACUCUGCCAGAAGAGGGAGCAUCAGCAGGGAGGUCCAGGCCCUGCAAACAUGAGGGUGCCCAGAGCUGCCUUCAGGGUAGGUGGGGACAGGAGCCAGCCAUGGUGGCAGGAAGAUCAGAUGGGAUGUGAAGACACAAUCCAGGACAGGGAGGACAGACAAGUCUUCCCAGAAGCUUGCCUGGGAAGGAAAAGAAAGAUCUGGAGCCAGAGUUGAGGGACAGGUGUCAAUGCUGAGGAGAAGAAGCCAGGAAAGAAAGAAGAAUAAAGGUGAAGUCGGGCUGCUUGAGAUGUUUGGUGAAAUGAGGCAACGUGCCUGUGAUUUUGUUUUCCACCCCAGUUGCCGGGGCAUGCUCUGAGGCUUGCAAUUUCCGUGGGCACAGCCAGUACAGAGCAGACAGCUGUGCUCAGGAACUGCAUCUCCCAAGGGUCUUUAUUUGGGGAAUAUGACAAGAAGGAAAAAAUGGAAAACACACCCUCAGGUGUCACAAGGGAGAGGAUGAUCCAGCAGCAGUUUUCCCCCUCUUUUCCCAUUAAAGUCCUACCUGACAGCCUACCCCAUGGAGAAGCUUCAUAGGAAUUAAGAUAUUCCAGAUAUUCUCAGGAAAAUGAAAUAUUGAAGAAUGGCUUCCUGAGCUGAUAAUGGUGGUACAUUUGAAAAAUAGACCAGAGUGCCGUGUUUAAAAGCCUAAAGUCAUAAAAGGUAUUAUGAAUGGAUGGAUGGGGAACCUCUACAAGCAGACUUCAUUGAUGUCACCGUAAACGAUGAAUGCUGUCACUCUUUUUUAUAUGUAACAAGAAGAUAUGCUGCUGCAUCCAGAUCUCAUUGUAGAAGCUGUCAGACUCACUGAAAUGGCAUUGCAUAAGCUAUUUAUGAUGAUAUGAGGGAAAAUACAAGGUUAAGAGAUCUUUAUCUGCUAUCUAUGGAAAUGUGCUUCCACACGAAGGCAGUACAUGAAAUAACCUUCCGGAUAACCCACGACAUUGGGGGAGCUGUAAAGUGAGAUUAACCAGCAGAGACAGGUCUGCAUUCAAAUUAUGUUUGUCCUCACCCUGAUGCCUUGGCCUCAUGAACACACAGGUGUUUUUCUAGCUUUCUCUAUGUAAAAUCCCACUCCGAGUUUUACAGCACUCAUUGGUGUGACAGAUUCAUAAAUGAUCCAACAAAAAAUUCAUGCGCCACCUUUCAGAAGAUAGCAGGGCAGCGGAGAACAGCUGCCCAGGCACAGAUGACGUCUCCCAGCCACCCUUGCCUUUGUCAUGGCCAAACCACAGGCUACAAGUGGAGGGGAGGUGGUCAUUUCCAGGCAGGAGUUUUUCAAAAUCAGGUGUGCUUCCCCCAUGAUCUCUCCAGGUUUCCAAUGCCCUGGGGGGGUAGAGGAUUUCCAGGCUCUAGGGGAUGGUGGAGCUAUGACAAGAAAAACCCUGGGCCCUGAGUCACCCCAUGGAGAAAUGACACCACCAACCCAGGACCAAUCCACACCGCACUUUAUAUAAAUGAGAAGUUAACUUCUAUUUCACUGCCCAGCCAACUAAAAUUUGCAGUUUGUUAUAACAGCUAGUGUUAUCUUUAUUAGUUGAUAUGGUUUGGCUCUGUGUCCCCACUCAAAUUUCAUGUUGAAUUGUAAUCUCCAGUGUUGGAGGAGGGGCCUUGUGGGAGAUAAUGGAAUCAUGGGGGCCGACAUCCUCCUUGCUCUUCUUGUGAUAGAGUUCUCACAAGAUCUGGUUGUUUGAAAGUGUGUAGCACCUCCCCGCCCCCUCUCUCCUGCCAGCCAUGUGAAGAUGUGCUUGCUUUCUCUUCACUUUCUGCCAUGAUUGUAGGUUUCCUGAGGCCUCCCCAAAAACAGAAGCCUGUAUAGGCCAAAGAACCAUGAGCCA
rnacentral:lncRNA from 1 species